rnacentral:tRNA from 1 species
GCGAGAGUAGCUCAGUUGGUAGAGCGCAACCUUGCCAAGGUUGAGGUCGCGAGUUCGAGACUCGUCUCUCGCUCCA